rnacentral:tRNA from 2 species
GGUUCCGUAGCUCAGUUGGAUAGAGCAACAGCCUUCUAAGCUGUGGGUCGUGGGUUCGAAUCCCGCCGGGAUCA